AUGAUGAUGUCACUGACUCUACUGCUGGGCACCCUGGGGCUCCUUGUUCAGGGUUCAUCAGGACAAAUCACCGUGACUCAGUCUCCUGGAUCUGACUCUGUUGCUCCAGGACAGACUGUCUCCAUCACAUGUAAAGCCAGUCAAAGUGUUUACAGUUCUACUUAUAGUGCCAACAGGCUACACUGGUACCUUCAGAAAACUGGAGAAGUUCCGAAGCUCCUGAUUUAUUGGGCUACAACCCGUCAGUCUGGAGUUUCAGAUCGUUUUAGUGGAAGUGGAUCAGGCACUGACUUCACUCUGACCAUCAGUGGAGUUCAGGCUGAAAAUUCAGGAGUUUACUACUGUCAGCAGGGUUGGAGCUACCCGUUCACACAGUGA